rnacentral:rRNA from 1 species
GGCAUCAAGCGCUUGCGCCUGAUGGACGUCGACCGGCGCACGGGUGAGUAACGCGUAUCCAACCUGCCCCACACUAAGGGACAACCCGCAGAAAUGUGGGCUAAUACCUUAUAUUUUCCACCAAGGGCAUCGUCGAUGGAACAAAGAUUUAUCGGUAUGGGAUGGGGAUGCGUCCGAUUAGGUUGUUGGCGGGGUAACGGCCCACCAAGCCAUCGAUCGGUAGGGGUUCUGAGAGGAAGGUCCCCCACAUAGGAACUGAGACACGGUCCUAACUCCUACGGGAGGCAGCAGUGAGGAAUAUUGGUCAAUGGGCGGGAGCCUGAACCAGCCAAGUAGCGUGCAGGAAGACGGCCCUAUGGGUUGUAAACUGCUUUUAUGCGGGGAUAAAGGAGUCCACGUGUGGGCUUUUGCAGGUACCGCAUGAAUAAGGACCGGCUAAUUCCGUGCCAGCAGCCGCGGUAAUACGGAAGGUCCGGGCGUUAUCCGGAUUUAUUGGGUUUAAAGGGAGCGUAGGCCGCGUUUUAAGCGUGUUGUGAAAUGUAGGCGCCCAACGUCUGCAUCGCAGCGCGAACUGGAACGCUUGAGUACGCGCAACGUUGGCGGAAUUCGUCGUGUAGCGGUGAAAUGCUUAGAUAUGACGAAGAACUCCGAUUGCGAAGGCAGCUGACGGGAGCGGCACUGACGCUUAAGCUCGAAGGUGCGGGUAUCAAACAGGAUUAGAUACCCUGGUAGUCCGCACGGUAAACGAUGGAUGCUCGCUGUGUGCCUUUUGUGGUACGCGGCUAAGCGAAAGCGUUAAGCAU